rnacentral:lncRNA from 1 species
UGGAGGCAUUAAAAAAGAGUACUAUCCUUUUGAAGUAUGGGUACACUGAUGCUGGUUGUUGGAUCCAUUAAUUAAUUUAUCUCUAUUCAGAAUAUUCUAAUGAACUAAAACCCAAGAUUGCUGUUAAUUUAAAGCAGAAGCAAAAGCGUGGCUGAACAGAUGAUGUUUGCCACGUUUUAACAGACUUCCACAAUGGUUCCUGAGAGAUAACCAAGUGAAAAACAAAUUUGAACUAUUUUGUGGCUCUAAACUGUGUUUUAAAACUCUAAUUAAAGGGGGCAGCCAGCUCCUAUUACAUAUCUGGUGCACGUGGAGUACUCCCAUAGACUUUUUAAACACUGUAUGCUUAGGCUACACUAAAUAUAGAAAAAAAUUU